AGAAUCAACGCUGGCGGCGUGCCUAACACAUGCAAGUCGCACGAGAAAGGGACUUCGGUCCUGAGUACAGUGGCGCACGGGUGAGUAACACGUGAAUAAUCUACCUCCGAGUGGGGAAUAACUGAGAGAAAUCUUAGCUAAUACCCGCAUAACACUUACGAGUCAAAGCAGCAAUGCGCUUGGAGAGGAGUUCGCGGCAGAUUAGUUAGUUGGCGGGGUAAUGGCCCACCAAGACGAUGAUCUGUA
rnacentral:rRNA from 1 species